rnacentral:misc_RNA from 1 species
UAUCUAGUUUUAUCUUGCAGCAGUACUCUCUUUCAGCAUCCUCUUUUCCUUUUAGAACGUGUCCAAUACCUUAAAUGUGUAUUGUUUUUUCCCAUAAAAGUUUAUGUGCUUGUUUAUCAAAUUUAAAGCCUGCGUUCUCCAUAAACUGCUUUAAAUCACAGUUUUAUUCCUGGCAAAUUAUUUAUUUAUGGAUGAAGAUAUGCCUGUACUCCCAUACGAAUUAUACCGUAGUUGAAAAAAGAUUGGUAAAUGUUGGCGAUUCUCAAUCAAUAAAUAAAUAAU